rnacentral:rRNA from 1 species
AUUGACCGCUGGCGGCAGGCCUAACACAUGCAAGUCGAACGAGUGGCGGACGGGUGAGUAAUGUCUGGGAAACUGCCUGAUGGAGGGGUAUAACUACUGGAAACGGUAUCUAAUACCGCAUACCAUCGGAUGUGCCCAGAUGGGAUUAGCUAGUAGGUGGGGUAAAGGUUCACCUAGGCGACGAUCCCUAGCUGGUCUGAGAGGAUGAACAGCCGCACUGGAACUGAGACACGGUCCAGACGCCUACGAGAGGCAGCAGUGGGGGAUAUUGCGCAAUGGGCGCAAGCCUGGUGCAGCCGUGCCGCGUGUAUGGAGAAGGCCUUCGGGUUGUAAAGUACUUUCAGCGGGGAGGCGUUACCCGCAGAAGAAGCACCGGCUAACUCCGUGCCAGCCGCCGCGGUAAUUC